GAUGAACGCUGGCGGCGUGCCUAAUACAUGCAAGUCGAGCGAAUGGACUAAGAGCUUGCUCUUAUGAAGUUAGCGGCGGACGGGUGAGUAACACGUGGGUAACCUGCCCAUAAGACUGGGAUAACUCCGGGAAACCGGGGCUAAUACCGGAUGUGUCUCCCGAGCACAAGCUCGGUGGGCAAAGGAAGCUUCGGCCUCCGCUUCGGGAGGGGCCCGCGGCCCAUUAGCUAGUCGGUGAGGUAACGGCUCACCGAGGCAACGAUGGGUAGCUGGUCUGAGAGGACGAUCAGCCACACUGGGACUGAGACACGGCCCAGACUCCUACGGGAGGCAGCAGUGGGGAAUCUUGCGCAAUGCGCGAAAGCGUGACGCAGCAACGCCGCGUGGGGGAAGAAGGCCCUCGGGUUGUAAACCCCUUUCAGGGGGGACGAAGGCGCGAUCGGUGAAUAGCCGGUCGUGCUGACGGUACCCCCAGAAGAAGCUCCGGCUAACUACGUGCCAGCCGCCGCAGUAA
rnacentral:rRNA from 1 species